rnacentral:rRNA from 1 species
UCGAACNUGGCGGCAGGCUUAACACAUGCAAGCCGAGCGGGCCCUUCGGGGUCAGCGGCGGACGGGUGAGUAACGCGUGGGAACGUGCCUUCUGGUUCGGAAUAACCCUGGGAAACUAGGGCUAAUACCGGAUACGCCCUUAUGGGGAAAGGUUUACUGCCGGAAGAUCGGCCCGCGUCUGAUUAGCUAGUUGGUGGGGUAACGGCCUACCAAGGCGACGAUCAGUAGCUGGUCUGAGAGGAUGAUCAGCCACACUGGGACUGAGACACGGCCCAGACUCCUACGGGAGGCAGCAGUGGGGAAUAUUGGACAAUGGGCGCAACCUGAUCCAGCCAUGCCGCGUGAGUGAUGAAGGCCUUAGGGUUGUAAAGCUCUUUUAUCCGGGACGAUAAUGACGGUACCGGAGGAAUAAGCCCCGGCUAACUUCGUGCCAGCAGCCGCGGUAAUACGAAGGGGGCUAGCGUUGCUCGGAAUCACUGGGCGUAAAGGGCGCGUAGGCGGCGUUUUAAGUCGGGGGUGAAAGCCUGUGGCUCAACCACAGAAUGGCCUUCGAUACUGGGACGCUUGAGUAUGGUAAAGGUUGGUGGAACUGCGAGUUUAAAGUGAAUUCGUAGAUAUUCG